CGGGCCGACCUCUUGAAUGGGGUUCAAGAGGUCGCGGGUUCAAAUCCCGCCGGCCCGA
rnacentral:tRNA from 1 species